rnacentral:rRNA from 1 species
UCUCACUGGUGUUCGGGUUGUCAUGCCAAUGGCACUGCCCGGUAGCUAAAUGCGGAAGAGAUAAGUGCUGAAAGCAUCUAAGCACGAAACUUGCCCCGAGAUGAGUUCUCCCUGAGACUUAGAGUCUCCUGAAGGAACGUUGAAGACGACGACGUUGAUAGGCCGGGUGUGUAAGCGCAGCGAUGCGUUGAGCUAACCGGUACUAAUGAACCGUGAGGCUUAACCUU